rnacentral:misc_RNA from 1 species
CCUAGUGUUGACACCCAUAAGACCCGAGGACAUGGAGAAGUCGAGGUUGUAUUCUCCGGCGGGAGCCGACGCCGGGGCCGGCGCCGGUGCCGCGUGGACGGGCAUGAAAUGGUCCUGCAAGAACGAGAAGUGCGUCAUCUCGGCGUGCGGCUCGCCGCCGCCCCCGGAGGCGACGGUGACGGCACCACUGGCCAAGCCGAAGUGCUGCGCUGGGGCCAUGGCGAUGGACGCAAUGUUGCCGAGGUGAGGAGCGGGGGAGGCGAAGGCGUGCGCCAUCGCGUGCCCCCCGCCCUUCCGGGGCUGCGCGAACCCGAUGUAGUCGGUGGUGGCGGAGACAAUCGUCGGCUGCCAGGACACCGACGACUGCCGCAGCUGGUGCUUGUGUUGAGCGGGGGCGGCGCUGGCCGCGGCCAUCCCCGUAAGCAGCUCGGUGAAGGACGCCGCCUGCGCCGAGGUGGUGGCGGUGGUGUCGUUGGCGGCGGGGUCCUUGUCCCUGGCAACGGUGUUCCGCUCCCUUGCGCGCUCCCGCGCCUUGACCCGGCUCUCGGAGCGGGAGAGGGAGAGGACGGAGCCCUUGCUGGUCUCGGACGUGCUGCUGCAUCCGGACCUCGUGAGCUGCUGCUGCUGCUGGUGGUGGUGGUCGUCGUCGUCACCGACAGGCGGGGCGUGGUCCUUGGCGGAGGCCGGGUGCGCGGGGAAGCCCGCGGCGGCGUCGAGCGAGGGGAGCUUGUCGAUGGCCUCGGCAGCGGCCCUGAUGAGCCACUCGAUGGCCUUGCUGGGCUGGUCGUAGCCGAGGCGGUCCUGCAGGUCGUAGAACUGGAUGGCGGUGGCAACGGAGAGGCGGACGCGGCGGUCCCUGAUGCCCUUGGCCGUGUACACCUUGCUGUGGCGGUCCUUGCCGCCGGAGGCCCGGGAGACGCGGUAGAUCCGCGAGGCCGGGUGCUGCUGCGCCCACGGCGCGGCGGCGGGCGGCUGCACGGCCACCGCCAUCGCGCGUCGCUUCGGCUCCGGCUCGGCGCCCGCGCCCGCGCCCGCGCCCUUGGCCCUGCCCCGCUUGCCCCCGGCGCCGCCCAUGGCCUCCACCUCCAUCGUCGCGGCGGCCGCGGACCCCUACCACGCGCACCCGGCCGGCGCGCCCCGCAUUGCCGUUGCCGCUCGCGGCGGCGGCUUCCCACUAGGACGGGCGUAAUUCCGAGGCCGCGCGCUCGGCGGCGGCGCUAGCGGGUAGGAAGUCGUGGCAGUGAGAAUGAGGGCGCGCGCGGGACGCGACGAGAGCGAGCAAGCGAU